rnacentral:miRNA from 2 species
UAUGUAAUAUGGUCCACAUC